CUCCAAUAACCCCUGAAAUGAUACCAGUUAUAAUCCCUUUUGCCCUUUUACUGUCACCAAUGGAACAAAUUGUUUGGAAUUUUGGUGAUAAAAAUGUUCCAACUAGAUUGAGUUCUCCAUAAAAAUUCACAAUACAAUUUACAACUAACUUCAGCUGCAAAGUGAAAACACACCUUUCAUCACUUUUUCCUCUUCCUUUCUCUGCCUCUCUGGACAUACUGUUGGAAUACCUAGAGGUAAUUUGUAUACCCCCAGGCUAAACCACAUCCAUUGUCUGAGCAGGGCUUGGCCAGAGAUCCAAACAGUACAAUAAUAACCAGUGAUUUAUGGAGGAGUGAUGUGAAACUCAGUAAAGAUGCAAAAUCAGGCGGUGAAAUUAGUAUGAAGAUCAAAUGAAGGGAGGGGAUUAAAAGGCUUAAUAUACUGGAAGAUGAAGCUAGGAGAUGUAAACACUAAUGAUUGAUUCUUUUUCCCUUUCUAUAUUGUUUGAUGUACAUCAAAAAGAGGAAGUGGUUUGCUUGUAUUAAAGGAUUUACCUCCAAGAAGGAGUUACAUUUCAAACAGGAAGUGUGCAGUAUGUAAACUUGGUGAAGUGUUUUGCUAGAAUGUCUUCUCAUUGGGGAACAUUUGGGUUUUGCUAGUAAGUCAACAUUUUAAUGAAAAAGCUACAACAUCAAAGUAAACUUUCAUUGCGAAACUAGUUGGGAUCCAGCUUAUAAGAGGAGAGAUUCCCACUCAGCAGUUUCCUGAUCAGAGAGGAGACCUAUGUGACGAUACCUGGUAAUGCUGUGUGCCCUGCCAUUCUCCUGUACCUUAAGGGAGAGCCCCUUCCUCUACCUCUAAUUCUCUUUUGGGUAGAAAUCCUCUGUUGUUUGUUGAUGGUUUGUUUUUAGAUUGAACAGUUAGCACACUGCCUAAGGCACAGAUGUAAAGAAUCUCAAAAACACUAGAUUGAAGUUGAAUCACAACUAAUUGUGUUUUUUUUUUUUUUUUCCCAGUCUGACUGCAGGUCAGCCCUUGAUGUAUCUGAAAUACAAGCAUCCCUGCUGGGAACUGUACUGCAGAAAGGACUGAAU
ensembl:lncRNA